rnacentral:lncRNA from 1 species
AUCAAGUUUUGGAUUAGGUCCGAAUAAUAUUAUACCAGGUUUGGACUUGGAUAUAGAGCCGAUUAUAAUUUUGGGUCGAGCUCGAUAUACUAGUGGCCCGACUCGAGCCCCAGUCUGAAUUUAGGCUCCUUCACUAGCUUGAAAUAUUUGACUCGAGUUCUAUCCCUAGCCAAUUUGGAUUAGCAAAGUAGGCCGAUAGCACUCAAGGGCUAAGGCUUAGCCAGUUAGCCAUUUAACUGCUUA